rnacentral:lncRNA from 1 species
GAGCCCGCCCCUCUCCCAGGCUCCUGCUCCAGGGCGAACCCGGGGGUCCUCUCCCAUGGCUCUGUGGGGGACCCCGGGGAGGUCGCCCUGGCACGGGACACUGUCGCGGGGUAGGACCCGAGAGGGUCUGGGGCGGUCAGGCUUCAUCCUGAGCACCGCCCGGGUGCAGGGAGCGCUGGGUGCUGGGCAAUACUUUAAAGACACAAAGUCUCAACAACCAUCUUCCGCUUGACGAGACAGAUCAUUCUAAUUUGAGCAGAAGCUACUAUGUCCUGCCCUUUGAACGCGGCGGCCCGGACAGCUGACAAGGACACACUGUGUAUUUCCAUUCCAAUUCUGGGAGUGCUCUGAGGCCUCUGGGGGAGAAGGACCCAUGAAAUAUUCAAAACAUAAGUGAAUAAAAUAUCUAGGUGCUAGAUAUGGGCCAGGAAGAGCCCUCGGCCCUGCAAAGUGUGUGUGAUGGUGAGAAGCUACCGGAAGAGAUGGUCCCUGUGCUUGGUUCAUUCCUUGGACAUUUAUCAAGCUGACGAAUGUAGCAGAGGUGCUUCAGUCGGCUGUAAUUCCACGGGUGGAGUGCUGGCUGGAGAGUUACCUGGGGCUGUCACACUGCAUGGGCUCCGGGACACUGUGGCUGCCCUUAUGUGGUGUCCCCGGAGGGCCCUGCAGGUGUCACACCGCUGCUCCACACUGCCACCUGCUGUCAGCAUCUGUGCAACGUAUCCAGGUCUCUGGGGGCUAGAAUGAAAAACAUGCAUCUCGUAACCAAUGAAAUCGGGCUUGUCCUGAAGACCUCGUGCAUUCAUCCAUUCUCACACUGCUAUAAAGACAUACCUAAGACUGGGCACUUCAUGAAGAAAAGAGGUUUAAUUGGCUCACGGUUCUGCAGGCUUUACAGGAAGCAUAGCAGCUUCCACUUCUAGGGAGGCCUCAGGAAACUUAUAGUCAUGGUGGAAGGUGAAGGCGGGACAAGGCGUCUCACAUGGGAGCAGUAGAGAGAGAAAAAGAGGGGGUGCCGCACACUUUGAAACAACCAGAUCUAACGAUAACUCACUAUCAUGAGAACAGCACCAAGAAGCUGGCGCUAACCCACUUGUGAAGGACCACCACCAUGAUCCAAUCCCUUCCCACCAGGUCCCACUUCCAACGUUGGGGAUUACACUUCACGGUGAGAUUUGUGCAGAGAGGACACAGGUCCAAACCAUAUCACCUGCUGUCUUUUUAUUUAUUUAUUUAUUUAUUUAUUUAUUGAGACAGAGUUGCUUCGUCACCCAGGCUGGAGUGCAGUGGCGUGAUCUCGGCUCACUGCAAGCUCCGCCUCCCGGGUUCGCACCAUUCUCCUGCCUCAGCCUCCCGAGUAGCUGGGACAACAGGCGCCUGCCACCACACCCAGCUAAUUUUUUGUAUUUUUAGUAGAGACGGGGUUUCACCAUGUUAGCCAGGAUGGUCUCCAUCUCCUGACCUCGUGAUCCGCCCGCCUCGGCCUUCCAAAGUGCUGGGAUUACAGACAUGAGCCACUGCGCCUGGCCUAUUGAUUUAUUUUUGAGAUGGGGUUUCGCUCUUGUGGCCCAGGCUGGAGUGCAAUGGCACGAUCUCGGCUCACUGCAACCUCCGCCUCCCAAGUUCAAGUGAUUCUCCUGUCUCAGUCUCCCAAGUAGCUGGGAUUACAGGCAUGCGCCACCAUGCCCAGCUAAUUUUGUAUUUUUAGUAGAGACAGGGUUUCUCCAUGUUGUUCAGGCUGGUCUCGAGCUCCCGACCUUAGGUGAUCCACCCGCCUCAGCCUCCCAAAGUGCUGGGAUUACAGGUGUGAGCCACUGCGCCUUGCCCACCUGCUGUCUUUUUGCAUCUUCCAAGUAGACAUCAAAGAUUGGUUUGCUAUCAGUGUCACUUCUAUAAUCCGUGGUUCUAUAUGAAGAAAACAAAAUCCCAAUUGGGGAAAAUGAACCCAUGGCAUUUUGUUUCUUACUCUGGAGCCGUUUCUGGCAGUUUGCCAGCAAGCACACAGACCCACAGGACAAGCUUGGUUCAUGGCCUGGAGUGCUGGUCUUGCUCAUGGACACGCAAUCAGAAGCAGUAUUUUGAUACCCCUGUGCUCAUGGCAAGGAGCUGCGUGGGCUUUCAGGGUGGAACCAGGGCUUCAGGGAACCCCUUCAUCCCGACAGGCAUCACCCAGAGCACACCCAGAGCAGCCUGCAGCGGCGUGGAAGGGGCUUGCACUGGCCCCAAGGUGCAGGGGAGCCCUGCCUGCCUGUCUCCUGCUAGGCUUGCCUGGGCUCCCGCCUACAGACCAUGAGAAUUCUUCUAGCAUGGGAAGAGAGUCUGACCAAAGUGACAACAGCCAUCCCCUGACUGCCCAGCACUGUUCACUUCUUCCCAGAUACUCCUACCAGACCAGGUCAGCCCUUCUUUUACUGGGGGGCCAGAAAGGUCCCCCCAAUCCAGUCCAGGACUCCAGAUGAUGCCCAUUUCUCUGCCAGUCCCAGCAAUCUCCCUUCUCAGCAUCUGGCAUCCUGGGAUGUACCCUAAAGUUCACUGGCUCAGAGCACCCUAACUAUGGCUGCGGCGAGGGGGGAGGGCGGGAUCAGGUCGGCGUGCUGCACAUGGGUCCUGGGGCGGGAACAGUAUUCUGGCUAUGCUCCUGCAGCUGGGCCCUCACAAGGGGCAGCGUCUGCACCCUCUCAAGGCUUUGCAGAUAAGGGUUUAUUGAAGAGGGAGGUGACCCACACCAUCCCCACUGAGGGAUCUGGUUAGGGGGCUCCCCCCAGAAUGUAGGCAAGAGGGCAGCAUCUUGAUAGUGAGGGUUGGUCACCCGGGAACCACAGUAACGUCUGCAGGGACCUUCCCCCAGUGGCACGCACUUCCCAGAAUGCUCACGGUCACCCUCAGCUUUCAACUGUGGGGACCUAACGCGUCUCCUGGUAGAGUCCUCACUCCCUUGGCUAAAACUUCUGAAAGCAGCGAGGCCGGGCUCCCUGGCUAGGAUGGCUCUGGCCCUGAGCAGGUCAUUUGCGUCAAGUUUCACCACCCAGCACCCUGUGCUUUCCCCAGCUGGCUGCACGCUGGGCCUCCGGGAAGCCGGCAAGCCCACCUGAUUCUGGAUCCUCCCUCCGAGCCUGGGUGACGCUGUCAUGAAAGAAGCUGCCAGAAGCCCACAGCAGGGCAGUUAGGCAGGGAAUGCGAGUCCGUGUCCAGAGCAAGGGUGACUCCAGUCCCUCCAGGACGGAGAA